GAUGAAGAACGCAGCGAAAUGCGAUAAGUAAUGUGAAUUGCAGAAUUCAGUGAAUCAUCGAAUCUUUGAACGCACAUUGCGCCCCCCAGUAUUCUGGCGGGCAUGCCUGUUCGAGCGUCAUUUCAACCAUCAAGCCCUGCUUGUGUUGGGGUCCUGCGGCUGCCCGCAGGCCCUGAAAACCAGUGGCGGGCUCGCUAGUCACACCGAGCGCAGUAGCACAUCUCGCUCAGGGCGUGCGGCGGGCUCCAGCCGUUAAAGCACCCACCUUUCGCAAGGUUGAUCUCGGAUCAGGUAGGAAUACCCGCUGAACUUAAGCAUAUCAAUAAGCGGAGGA
rnacentral:misc_RNA from 1 species